rnacentral:lncRNA from 1 species
AUAAAAAUUUUGCAGACUCGAUGCUUUUGCUGGAUUCUGGUACAAGACCAAGGUCAAGUGCUGCAGCUUGAGCAGCAUUCAGAAGCAAUACAUUGAGACCAUUCCAGUCAGGUCUGAUGACUUUUCCAAGUUUUGCUAUGGUUUCAACAGCAGCAAAAAUAGCAUCUUUGUCACCACGUUCAAAUAGCCCAGCCCCAACAACAAUAGCAGGAUUUUUGGCAUUUAAGAUAGCCGAGCAGAAGGGAUGGCGACCCUCUGCAAUUUCAAGAAGCGUUUGAG